GACGUAGGGGCAAGCGUUGUCCGGAAUCAUUGGGCGUAAAGCGCGUGUAGGCGGUUCGAUAAGUCUGCUGUGAAAGUCCAGGCUCAACCCUGGGAUGCCGGUGGAUACUGUCGGACUAGAGUGCGGAAGAGGCGAGUGGAAUUCCUGGUGUAGCGGUGAAAUGCGUAGAUAUCGAGAGGAACACCUGCGGCGAAGGCGGGUUGCUGGGCUGAUAACUGACGGCUGAGGCGCGGAAAGCCCAGGGAGCGAACGGG
rnacentral:rRNA from 1 species